CCUACGGGUGGCAGCAGUAGGGAAUAUUGCUCAAUGGGGGAAACCCUGAAGCAGCAACGCCGCGUGGAGGAUGAAGGUCUUCGGAUUGUAAACUCCUUUUGUUAGAGAAGAAAAUGACGGUAUCUAACGAAUACUCACCGGCUAACUCCGUGCCAGCAGCCGCGGUAAUACGGAGGGUGCAAGCGUUACUCGGAAUCACUGGGCGUAAAGAGCGCGGAGGCGGGAUAGCAAGUCAGAUGUGAAAUCCUAUGGCUUAACCAUAGAACUGCAUAUGAAACUGUUAUUCUAGAGUAUGGGAGAGGUAGGUGGAAUUCUUGGUGUAGGGGUAAAAUGCGUAGAGAUCAAGAGGAAUACUCAUGGCGAAGGCGACCUGCUAGAACAUAACUGACGCUGAUGCGCGAAAGCGUGGGGAGCAAACAGGAUUAGAUACCCGUGUAGUC
rnacentral:rRNA from 1 species